rnacentral:rRNA from 1 species
CCAACGGGCGGCUGCAGUGGGGAAUAUUGGACAAUGGGCGAAAGCCUGAUCCAGCCAUGCCGCGUGUGUGAAGAAGGCCUUCGGGUUGUAAAGCACUUUCAGUGGGGAAGAAAGCCUUGGGGCUAAUACCCUCGAGGAAGGACAUCACCCACAGAAGAAGCACCGGCUAACUCCGUGCCAGCAGCCGCGGUAAUACGGAGGGUGCGAGCGUUAAUCGGAAUUACUGGGCGUAAAGCGCGCGUAGGCGGUCUGAUAAGCCGGUUGUGAAAGCCCCGGGCUCAACCUGGGAACGGCAUCCGGAACUGUCAGGCUAGAGUGCAGGAGAGGAAGGUAGAAUUCCCGGUGUAGCGGUGAAAUGCGUAGAGAUCGGGAGGAAUACCAGUGGCGAAGGCGGCCUUCUGGACUGACACUGACGCUGAGGUGCGAAAGCGUGGGUAGCAAACAGGAUUAGAUACCCGAGUAGUC